UGCAAGUCGAACGAGACCUUCGGGUCUAGUGGCGCACGGGUGAGUAACGCGUGGAAACCUACCAUUCUGUACGGAAUAACGAUUGGAAACGAUCGCUAAUACCGUAUACGCCCUGUGGGGGAAAGGUCCGCCGCAGAAUGAGGGGUCCGCGUCCGAUUAGCUUGUUGGUGGGGUAAUGGCCUACCAAGGCGAUGAUCGGUAGCUGGUCUGAGAGGAUGAUCAGCCACACUGGGACUGAGACACGGCCCAGACUCCUACGGGAGGCAGCGGUGGGGAAUAUUGGACAAUGGGGGCAACCCUGAUCCAGCAAUGCCGCGUGUGUGAAGAAGGCCUUAGGGUUGUAAAGCACUUUCAAUGGUGAAGAUGAUGACGGUAGCCGUAGAAGAAGCCCCGGCUAACUUCGUGCCAGCAGCCGCGGUAAUACGAAGGGGGCGAGCGUUGUUCGGAAUUACUGGGGCGUAAAGGGCGCGCAGGCGGCCAAUCCAGUCAGGUGUGAAAGCCCCGGGCUUAACCUGGGAACUGCACUUUGAUACUGAUUGGCUAGAAAACGGAAGAAGGGCAGUGGAAUUUCCCAGUGGUAGAAGUGAAAUUUCGUAGA
rnacentral:rRNA from 1 species